rnacentral:lncRNA from 1 species
GAGCCCCCCGUCCAAGGGGUUCUGAAGAUCAUACACGUCUCCAUGGACUGGCUUGUGGGUCUUCCAGAUGCAUUCCACAUGGCAACCAGUGGUCUGAAUAUCACCAUCGUCCUCUUCCUGCUCUUCCUGGGUCUUCUCUACAGGGUCCAACGGACGGUUCCGGCCCUGGGGCCGUAUGCUGCCUGCUUCGAGUCUAGGUGGUACUUCUUGGUUUCACACCCGUCUGCUGGGCCCUGCUGAACGCCUGGUGAACCCUGGCUUGAUGGAGGCACAGAGCAGUGGACUCACUGGAUGACUGAUGACUCCUCCUCCACAACCCCAGACGUGGAAUUUUAUUUUCAAGCGACAAUUUCACAAUAACAGAAAAACUAACCUGAUAAUUGAAAAUAAAUUUAUUCUAAAUUUGUCAUUAUAGUAUUAUGG